GAUGAAGAACGUAGCAAAAUGCGAUAAGUAAUGUGAAUUGCAGAAUUCAGUGAAUCAUCGAGUCUUUGAACGCACAUUGCGCCCCCUGGUAUUCCGGGGGGCAUGCCUGUCCGAGCGUCAUUGCUGCCCUCAAGCACGGCUUGUGUGUUGGGCCCCCGUCCCCGGUUUCCCCCGGGGACGGGCCCGAAAGGCAGCGGCGGCACCGCGUCCGGUCCUCGAGCGUAUGGGGCUUUGUCACCCGCUCUGUAGGCCCGGCCGGCGCCAGCCGACACCCAACUUUAUUUCUAAGGUUGACCUCGGAUCAGGUAGGGAUACCCGCUGAACUUAAGCAUAUCAAUAAGCGGAGGA
rnacentral:misc_RNA from 1 species